rnacentral:rRNA from 1 species
AUUGAACGCUGGCGGCAUGCUUUACACAUGCAAGUCGGACGGCAGCACAGAGAAGCUUGCUUCUUGGGUGGCGAGUGGCGAACGGGUGGGUAAUAUAUCGGAACGUACCGAGUAAUGGGGGAUAACUAAUCGAAAGAUUAGCUAAUACCGCAUAUUCUCUGAGGAGGAAAGCAGGGGACCUUCGGGCCUUGCGUUAUUCGAGCGGCCGAUAUCUGAUUAGCUAGUUGGUGGGGUAAAGGCCGACCAAGGCGACGAUCAGUAGCGGGUCUGAGAGGAUGAACCGCCACACUGGGACUGAGACACGGCCCAGACUCCUACGGGAGGCAGCAGUGGGGAAUUUUGGACAAUGGGCGCAAGCCUGAUCCAGCCAUGCCGCGUGUCUGAAGAAGGCCUUCGGGUUGUAAAGGACUUUUGUCAGGGAAGAAAAGGCUGUUGCUAAUACCGACAGCUGAUGACGGUACCUGAAGAAUAAGCACCGGCUAACUACGUG